CACACACCCUUCUAACCCUUGAGACAUCUUGCCCUGAUGCCACUAGAAAAACGCAGCUACCUCUUCUCCACUCUGCAGCCUCCAGGAUACUUUUACAAGAAAAGUUGAAACAACAUUAUCCCAAUUGUCCGGAGGCCUGCUAUGGUCUUCCGAGAUGUGUGUUUGUUCCUCUUCCUGGGGAAACAUGCAGAAGGAAGGUUGAUAUAAAGAGAUGACAGUGGAAGAAGAUUCUCUGUAAGGCCUGCUUGGGAUUAAAUUUCACAAGGCAAAGCUUCCAGGUGCCACAUGACCCCAGAGGCAAGAGUGAGUGACCCAGCGAAUGUGAAUUUUCCUCUUCUUCAGCAGACUGGUUUCUGCAUGCAAACAAACACACACACAGCUCUCUCGCUCCCCCAUCCACGAAAGCACAAGAUAGGACCAGAGUUCAAAGACGCAUCUCAGCCGGGCAAACACUCAAAAGGUGCAAAGCAGGUCAAGUGACGGGGUGUGGUCUGGGGAGAGUUCUUGAGGGCCAGACCCAGAGGGCAGCAUUUGAUACCCCGGGCCUGAAGACCCCCUCUCCCAAUAAACCAUAAUUGGAUCUA